rnacentral:rRNA from 1 species
UAGGGAAUCUUCGGCAAUUGACGAAAGUCUGACCGAGCAACGCCGCGUGAGUGAAGAAGGUUUUCGGAUCGUAAAACUCUGUUGUUAGAGAAGAACAAGGACGUUAGUAACUGAACGUCCCCUGACGGUAUCUAACCAGAAAGCCACGGCUAACUACGUGCCAGCAGCCGCGGUAAUACGUAGGUGGCAAGCGUUGUCCGGAUUUAUUGGGCGUAAAGCGAGCGCAGGCGGUUUCUUAAGUCUGAUGUGAAAGCCCCCGGCUCAACCGGGGAGGGGCAUUGGAAACUGGGAGACUUGAGUGCAGAAGGGGAGAGUGGAAUUCCAUGGGUAGCGGUGAAAUGCGUAGAUAUAUGGAGGAACACCAGUGGCGAAGGCGGCUCUCUGGUAUGUAACUGACGCUGAGGAUCGAAAGCGUGGGGAGCAAACAGG